rnacentral:tRNA from 1 species
GGGGCUGUGGCCUAGUGGAAGAGCCUCUGUUUUGCAUGCGGAAAGUCCCAAGUUCAAUCCCUGCCAUCUCCA